rnacentral:rRNA from 1 species
CCUACGGGUGGCAGCAGUGAGGAAUAUUGGUCAAUGGGCGGAAGCCUGAACCAGCCAAGUCGCGUGAGGGAAUAAGGCCCUACGGGUCGUAAACCUCUUUUGCCGGGGAGCAAGUGCCGGUACGAGUCCCGGUCCGUAGAGUACCCUGAGAAAAAGCUUCGGCUAACUCCGUGCCAGCAGCCGCGGUACUACGGAGGAUGCGAGCUUUAUCCGGAUUUAUUGGGUUUAAAGGGUGCGUGGGCGGGCUUUUAAGUCAGCGGUAAAAAUUCGGGGCUCAACCCCGUCCGGCCGUUGAAACUGGGGGCCUUGAGUGGGCGAGAAGAAGGCGGAAUGCGUGGUGUAGCGGUGAAAUGCAUAGAUAUCACGCAGAACCCCGAUUGCGAAGGCAGCCUUCCGGCGCCCUACUGACGCUGAGGCACGAAAGUGCGGGGAUCGAACAGGAUUAGAUACCCGUGUAGUC